ACAGAACUUUUUGACAACAAAACUUGCACUUAUUAUUAUUAAAAUAAUUUAUGCAGUGGCACAUGAUGAAACCUUGUUGGAACUCAGAGGCGAGUUCUGAUGCUUUCUGUAGCAUAUUGUUACAAACAUACUAUUUACUACUACAAAUACAUGCCCUGAUCUGUUUCAGAAUGAUCUGUGGUCAUUUCAAAAUGCUUAAUGUUUAUUGGUUUGGCAGAGUUUCCCACAAUGUGUUGUGGUUGCCUCAUGAUGGCCCUAGGGUGAAGUAGUGUUGAGUAUCGGUGUUUGGUUGUUUGGAAUUGGCCACAGUGUGCAG
rnacentral:lncRNA from 1 species